rnacentral:rRNA from 1 species
UUUUAUUUGAGAGUUUGAUCCUGGCUCAGGAUGAACGCUGGCGGCGUGCCUAACACAUGCAAGUUGAGCGAUUUACUUCGUAAAGAGCGGCGGACGGGUGAGUAACGCGUGGGUAACCUACCCUGUACACACGGAUAACAUACCGAAAGGUAUGCUAAUACGGGAUAAUAUAUUUGAGAGGCAUCUCUUAAAUAUCAAAGGUGAGCCAGUACAGGAUGGACCCGCGUCUGAUUAGCUAGUUGGUAAGGUAACGGCUUACCAAGGCGACGAUCAGUAGCCGACCUGAGAGGGUGAUCGGCCACAUUGGAACUGAGACACGGUCCAAACUCCUACGGGAGGCAGCAGUGGGGAAUAUUGCACAAUGGGCGAAAGCCUGAUGCAGCAACGCCGCGUGAGUGAUGAAGGCCUUCGGGUCGUAAAACUCUGUCCUCAAGGAAGAUAAUGACGGUACUUGAGGAGGAAGCCCCGGCUAACUACGUGCCAGCAGCCGCGGUAAUACGUAGGGGGCUAGCGUUAUCCGGAUUUACUGG